UGUCACUGCAAGUGAGGGGUUUCACUGCCAGGCAGAGCGUGGGCAUCAGGGAAAGGCUGGGGGUCAGGGAAAGUUUGGGGAUCAGGGAAGGGUUGGGGAUCAAGGGAAGGUUUGGGAUCAGGGAAAGGCUGGGGAUCAGGGAAGGGUUGGGGAUCAGGGAAGGGUUGGAGAUCAGGGAAGGGUUGGGGAUCAAGGAAAGGUUUGGGAUCAGGGAAAGGUUUGGGAUCAGGGAAGGGUUGGGGAUCAAGGAAAGGUUUGGGAUCAGGGAAAGGUUUGGGAUCAGGGAAGGGUUGGGGAUCAAGGAAAGGUUUGGGGUCAGGGAAAGGUUUGGGGUCAGGGAAGGGUUGGGGAUCAGGGAAAGGCUGGAUUUUGGUCCUCUUCCCCAGAGGGUGCUGGCACUGCCCAGGCUCCCCAGGGAAUGGGCACGGCCCCGAGGCUGCCAGAGCUCCAGGAGAGUUUGGACACCACUCCAGGGAUGCCCAGGGUGGGAUUUUGGCCUGGGGUUGGAUCAGUGAUGCCCGUGGGUCCCUUCCAGCUGAGGAUAUUCUGUGAUUUGGCAGGAUCACGGCGUGGUUUGGGUUGGAAGGGACCUUGGUGUCCAUGUCACCCCAACCCCUUCCACCCGCCCAGGCUGCUCCAAGGCUGCUGCGCUGUUCAAGGUGAGAAGCAGCAGAGCAGAGUUACUGCCCAGCUCUCGGGGUGCCCCGGGCAGAUCACUUUGGAUCUCUCUGAUUCCAGCCUGGCGUGUUCAGGAAGUUUUCCAUACUCCCUCCUCUCUCACCUGUGUUUCCAGUAAUUCCACCGAGCAGCUCCGUGAAUGGUUUGGAGCUGUGCAGAAGCAAAGGAAGUGGGGAAUUCUG
rnacentral:lncRNA from 1 species